rnacentral:rRNA from 1 species
GAUGAACGCUGGCGGCGUGCCUAACACAUGCAAGUCGAGCGGAGCGGCGGAAGGGUGAGUAAUACCUAGGAAUCUGCCUGGUAGUGGGGGAUAACGUUCGGAAACGGACGCUAAUACCGCAUACUAUAAGAUGAGCAUAGGUCGGAUUAGAUAGUUGGUGGGGUAAUGGCUCACAAAGGCGACGAUCCGUAACUGGUCUGAGAGGAUGAUCAGUCAAACGGGAACUGAGACACGGUCCAGACUCCUACGUGAGGCAGCAGUGGGGAAUAUUGGACAAUGGGCGAAAGCUUGAUCCAGCCAUGCCGCGUGUGUGAAUAAGGUCUUCGGAUUGUAAAGCACUGUAAGUUGGGAGGCGUUACCAACAGAAUAAGCACCGGCUAACUCCGUGCCAGCAGCCGCGGUAAUUC